AUGGGAACCCCUGGGUCACCUCAGUCAGCUGCCGAGGACAAGGCCGGCCCCCCAGCCACUCAGGAGGUGACGCAGUUUUGGAAGGACAUCCAUCCGGGCCAGGGCCCCUACCCGACUCGGAUCAUCUCAGAGCCAGACGCCAGGCUAGCUUCGGGCUGGCUGGGAGCGGCGGGACCCGGACGGCCAGGCCUCGAUGGGCCCCCCGGCAACCACCAGGCGCGGCCUCCAGCCUCUGCUGGAGCCCACCAGCCCCACGGUGUCCAGCGGCCCACCCAGCCCAGAGGAGCACGUGCUUCUCUGGGCCGUCCUGUGAAGGCCGCGGAGGUGAAGGAGCAGGGGAGGACCGCCCGGGAGGACGGGGGCAGGGGGCGGGGGCUGGGAAGCCCUGGGACCUCUGCCCGGCCGUGUCCCCUGGCCCAGGCUCCUGGCCCUGCUCCGCGGUCCCCGCGCGCCAGGAGCCAGGCAGCCGGAAAAUGUGAGUGUCAGCACGGCGACGCCACAUUCCUGAGGUCUCUCUCCCGGCCUCGGGGCUGCCGCCCCCGCCUCGGCCCAGCCCGCAAAGCCACACUGGUGGGUCCUGGGCUGUCCUGCCCGCCCCCAGCGGCUCAUCCCUGGAACGCCCUCCUGCCAGCCAGCCGCGGCUUUGGCUGCCCCAGAGGCCCCCCGGCUGGGCCAAGGCUUUCAAGUGUGUUCCCAGGGGGCCUGCGAGGCUGCCGCUGCCUCCAGAGGGCUGGGUAUUUUGGGGGACAUCCCCUAAAGGAAAACAGGGCAGGAAUGCUGGAGGCUGAGCAUCCUGUCCCUGAGGCUUGGGUGUGGCCCUUGGAGCCAGGCAGAGCAGAAGGGGAGGGAAGAGGCCACAGAGGACAAGCGGGAGCCGGCGGGCGGACGGCCCCGGGCGGGGCACAGGGACGUCCCUCCGAGGUGGCCUGUCCCUCAGCGAAGCUGCUCACCUCUUGGGCCUCCUUCUCUCGUCUGCAGGGUGGACAACGAGGCGUGCAGGGCGGGGCCAGGAUGACCGCACUGUCCGCCGUGUCCUCCUCCGUCGUCCCCUGCGUGCUGGUCCGGGGGUGUCUCCUCUCCUUCUCAUGGAGGCCUGUGGGGCUCAGGGCCAGGCUUCCUGUGCACCCCCAAGAGAGCCAGGAGCAGAAAUCCGAGUCCAGAAAGAAUGAUGCUAGGGCACCCUCGACCCCAAGAAGCUCUGGGGCCCCCUAA
ensembl:lncRNA